rnacentral:tRNA from 1 species
UCCUCCUUAGCUCAGUCGGUAGAGCACUCGACUGUUAAUCGAUAGGUCGUUGGUUCGAGUCCAACAGGGGGAGCCA